GAGACCCUAGUAAACUAUUACGUAGCCCUGUCAGUGCUGAAUAAAAGGUGCAACCCCUUUGAGACUCC
rnacentral:tRNA from 1 species